rnacentral:rRNA from 1 species
CGUAACCAGAGAGAUUUGGUGUUCCCUUCGGGACCUGCACACAGGUGCUGCAUGGCUGUCGUCAGCUCGUGUCGUGAGAUGUUGGGUUAAGUCCCGCAACGAGCGCAACCCACGUCUUAGUUGCCAUCAUUGAGUUGGGCACUCUAGGGAGACUGCCGGUGAUAAGCCGCGAGGAAGGUGUGGAUGACGUCAAGUCCUCAUGGCCCUUACGGGAUGGGCUACACACGUGCUACAAUGGCGGUGACAGUGGGAUGCGAGCCUGCGAAGGUGAGCAAAUCCCCAAAAGCCGUCUCAGUUCGGAUUGCACUCUGCAACUCGGGUGCAUGAAGGCGGAAUCGCUAGUAAUCGUGGAUCAGCAUGCCACGGUGAAUACGUUCCCGGGCCUUGUACACACCGCCCGUCACACCAUGGGAGUUGGUCUUACCCGACGGCGCUGCGCCAACCCGCGAGGGGAGCAGGCGACCACGGUAGGGUCAGCGACUGGGGUGAAGUCGUAACAAGGUAAGCGUAGUGCU